rnacentral:rRNA from 1 species
UUGCAGGGAUACUUAGUACGGCGAGUGAGCGGUAAAAGCUCAAAUUUGAAAUCUGGUACUUUCAGUGCCCGAGUUGUAAUUUGUAGAAUUUGUCUUUGAUUAGGUCCUUGUCUAUGUUCCUUGGAACAGGACGUCAUAGAGGGUGAGAAUCCCGUUUGGCGAGGAUACCUUUUCUCUGUAAGACUUUUUCGAAGAGUCGAGUUGUUUGGGAAUGCAGCUCAAAGUGGGUGGUAAAUUCCAUCUAAAGCUAAAUAUUGGCGAGAGACCGAUAGCGAACAAGUACAGUGAUGGAAAGAUGAAAAGAACUUUGAAAAGAGAGUGAAAAAGUACGUGAAAUUGUUGAAAGGGAAGGGCAUUUGAUCAGACAUGGUGUUUUUUGCAUGCACUCGCCUCUCGUGGGCUUGGGCCUCUCAAAAAUUUCACUGGGCCAACAUCAAUUCUGGCAGCAGGAUAAAUCAUUAAGAAUGUAGCUACUUCGGUAGUGUUAUAGCUUUUUGGAAUACUGUUAGCCGGGAUUGAGGACUGCGCUUCGGCAAGGAUGUUGGCAUAAUGGUUAAAUGCCGCCCGUCUUGAACCACGGACCA